rnacentral:rRNA from 1 species
GAUGAACGCUGGCGGCGUGCCUAAUACAUGCAAGUCGAACGAACAGAUGAGGAGCUUUCUCCUCUGACGUUAGCGGCGGACGGGUGAGUAACACGUGGAUAACCUACCUCUUAUACUGGGAUAACUUCGGGAAACCGGAGCUAAUACCCGAUAAGAUAUUUAACCGCCUGGUUCAAUAGUGAAAGACGGUUUUGCUGUCACUUAUAGAUGGAUCCGCGCUGACUUAUCGAGUUGGUAAGGUAACGGCUUACCAAGGCAACGAUGCGUAGCCGACCUGAGAGGGUGAGCGGCGAUAGUGGAACACAGACAGGCUCAGGACUCCUACGGGAGGCAGCAGUAGGGAAUAUUGCGCAAUGGGCGAAAGUGUGACGGAGCAACACCGAGUGAGUGCUGAUGGUCGUCGGAUCGUAAAACUCUGUUAUUAGGGAAGAACAAAUGUGUAAGUAACUAUGGACGUUUUGACGGUAACUAAUCAGAAAGCCACGGCUAACUACGUG